rnacentral:rRNA from 1 species
AUGAACGCUGGCGGCGUGCCUAAUACAUGCAAGUCGAGCGAACAGACGAGGAGCUUGCUCCUCUGACGUUAGCGGCGGACGGGUGAGUAACACGUGGAUAACCUACCUAUAAGACUGGGAUAACUUCGGGAAACCGGAGCUAAUACCGGACAAUAUAUUGAACCGCAUGGUUCAAUAGUGAAAGACGGUUUUGCUGUCACUUAUAGAUGGAUCCGCGCCGCAUUAGCUAGUUGGUAAGGUAACGGCUUACCAAGGCAACGAUGCGUAGCCGACCUGAGAGGGUGAUCGGCCACACUGGAACUGAGACACGGUCCAGACUCCUACGGGAGGCAGCAGUAGGGAAUCUUCCGCAAUGGGCGAAAGCUUGACGGAGCAACGCCGCGUGAGUGAUGAAGGUCUUCGGAUCGUAAAACUCUGUUAUUAGGGAAGAACAAAUGUGUAAGUAACUAUGCACGUCUUGACGGUACCUAAUCAGAAAGCCACGGCUAACUACGUG